rnacentral:rRNA from 1 species
UACGUAGGCAGCAAGCGUUGUUCGGAGUUACUGGGCGUAAAGCGUGCGCAGGCGGUCUGUUAAGACCGAUGUGAAAUCCCCGGGCUUAACCUGGGAACUGCAUUGGUGACUGGCAGGCUUUGAGUGUGGCAGAGGGAGGUAGAAUUCCACGUGUAGCAGUGAAAUGCGUAGAGAUGUGGAGGAAUACCGAUGGCGAAGGCAGCCUCCUGGGCCAACACUGACGCUCAUGCACGAAAGCGUGGGGAGCAAACAGG